ensembl:lncRNA
GUCGCGUGGCGCAGAGCCUGGCGCAGUACUGCGUGGGCGCCAAUUACGCGUGGGCCAUGGCCGAGGGGCUCUUCCUGCUGCGCCUCCUGCUCGCCACCUCGGGCCGCCGCUGCCUGCCCGCCUUCCUGCUGCUCGGCUGGGGUGCGACAUGUCCCUGGCACCGAUGGCACCUGUGUCACCUGUGUCACCUGUGUCACCUUUGUGUCCCCCUCCGUGCCACCUCCCUGGCACCUGUGCCCCUGUGUCACCUGUGUCACCUGUGUCCCUCCCCAUGUCCCCCUCCGUGUCACCUCCCUGGCACCUGUGGCACCUGUGGCACCUGUGUCACCUUUGUGUCCCCCUCCGUGUCACCUCCCUGGCACCUGUGCCCCUGUGUCACCUGUGUCACCUGUGUCACCUGUGUCACCUGUGUGUCACCUGUAUCACCUGUGUGCCCCCCGUGUCCUCCCCAUGUCCCCCUCCGUGCCACCUCCCUGUCACCUGUGGCACCUGUGUCACCUGUGUCACCUGUGGCACCUUUGUGUCCCCCCGUGUCCCCCCCAUGUCCCCCUCCGUGCCACCUCCCUGUCAUCUGUGGCACCUGUGUCGCUGUGGCACCUGUGGCACCUGUGGCACCUUUGUGUCCCCCUCCGUGCCACCUCCCUGUCACCUGUGCCCCUGUGUCACCUGUGUCACCUGUGUCACCUGUGUCACCUGUGUCACCUGUGUCACCUUUGUGUUCCCCUCCGUGCCACCUCCCUGGCACCUGUGGCACCUGUGUCACCUGUGGCACCUGUGUCACCUGUGGCACCUUUGUGUCCCCCCGUGUCCCCCCCAUGUCCCCCUCUGUGCCACCUCCCUGUCACCUGUGGCACCUGUGGCACCUGUGGCACCUUUGUGUCCCCCCCAUGUCCCCCCCGUGCCACCUCCCGUGCCCCCGUGUCACCAGUGUCACCUGUGUCACCUGUGUGUCCCCCCGUGUAUCCCCGGUGUCCCCCUCCGUGCCACCUCCCAUGUCCCCGUGUCACCAGUGUCAUCUGUGUCACCAGUGUCACCUGUGUUACCUGUGUCACCUUUGUCACCUGUGCCUCCGUGUCACCUGUGUCACCUGUGCUGCUGUGCCACUGUCGCCCGUGCCACCUCCCAUGUCCCCGUGUCACCUGUGCCCCCGUGUCACCUGUGUGUCCCCCCGUGUCCCCGUGUCCCCUGUGUCACUUGUGUGUCUCCCCGUGUCCCCCGUGUCACCUGUGCCCCCGUGUCCCCGUGUCACCUGUGUGUCCCCCCGUGUCCCCGUGUCACCUGUGUGUCCCCCCGUGUCCCCCCCGCUGUCCCUAACCGGGCGUGUCCCCCACCCCAGGUGUCCCCGUGCUCUUCGUUGUCCCCUGGGUCCUCCUGAGGUACCUGUACGAGAACGAGGGGUGAGGCCACCUGUCCCCCGCCUUGUCCCCGCGCUGUCCCCUCGGAGGGGACAGCGGUGACACUUUGGGGAGGGGGCUGAGCGCGCCCCCGCCGCCCCCGCAGGUGCUGGGAACGCAACGAGAAGGUGGCGGUGUGGUGGCUGAUCCGCUGUCCCAUCCUGGUGGCCGUCUCGGUGGGUGACAUCGUGGCGGUGGCGCUGGCCUGGGGGUGUCCGGGUGGCGCGGGAGGUGCCACCGCAGGUGUCGCCUCUGCUGUCGCCUCCCCCGCCAGGUGAACUUCGUGGUGUUCGUGCGCAUCGUGCGGAUCUUGGUGGCCAAAGUGCGCGCGCACCAGGUGUCGCGCGGGGACACGCGGCUCAGGUGGGGACCUCGGGGGGGUGACACGGCCACCGCACCUGGGCAGGGUGGGGACAACAGCUG